rnacentral:rRNA from 2 species
UUAAGCGACUAAGCGUACACGGUGGAUGCCCUGGCAGUCAGAGGCGAUGAAGGACGUGCUAAUCUGCGAUAAGCGUCGGUGAGGUGAUAUGAACCGUUAUAACCGGCGAUUUCCGAAUGGGGAAACCCAGUGUGUUUCGACACACUAUCAUUAACUGAAUCCAUAGGUUAAUGAGGCGAACCGGGGGAACUGAAACAUCUAAGUACCCCGAGGAAAAGAAAUCAACCGAGAUUCCCCCAGUAGCGGCGAGCGAACGGGGAGGAGCCCAGAGCCUGAAUCAGUGUGUGUGUUAGUGGAAGCGUCUGGAAAGGCGUGCGAUACAGGGUGACAGCCCCGUACACAAAAAUGCACAUAUUGUGAGCUCGAUGAGUAGGGCGGGACACGUGGUAUCCUGUCUGAAUAUGGGGGGACCAUCCUCCAAGGCUAAAUACUCCUGACUGACCGAUAGUGAACCAGUACCGUGAGGGAAAGGCGAAAAGAACCCCGGCGAGGGGAGUGAAAAAGAACCUGAAACCGUGUACGUACAAGCAGUGGGAGCCUCUUAAUGGGGUGACUGCGUACCUUUUGUAUAAUGGGUCAGCGACUUAUAUUCUGUAGCAAGGUUAACCGAAUAGGGGAGCCGAAGGGAAACCGAGUCUUAACUGGGCGUUAAGUUGCAGGGUAUAGACCCGAAACCCGGUGAUCUAGCCAUGGGCAGGUUGAAGGUUGGGUAACACUAACUGGAGGACCGAACCGACUAAUGUUGAAAAAUUAGCGGAUGACUUGUGGCUGGGGGUGAAAGGCCAAUCAAACCGGGAGAUAGCUGGUUCUCCCCGAAAGCUAUUUAGGUAGCGCCUCGUGAAUUCAUCUCCGGGGGUAGAGCACUGUUUCGGCAAGGGGGUCAUCCCGACUUACCAACCCGAUGCAAACUGCGAAUACCGGAGAAUGUUAUCACGGGAGACACACGGCGGGUGCUAACGUCCGUCGUGAAGAGGGAAACAACCCAGACCGCCAGCUAAGGUCCCAAAGUCAUGGUUAAGUGGGAAACGAUGUGGGAAGGCCCAGACAGCCAGGAUGUUGGCUUAGAAGCAGCCAUCAUUUAAAGAAAGCGUAAUAGCUCACUGGUCGAGUCGGCCUGCGCGGAAGAUGUAACGGGGCUAAACCAUGCACCGAAGCUGCGGCAGCGACACUAUGUGUUGUUGGGUAGGGGAGCGUUCUGUAAGCCUGUGAAGGUGGCCUGUGAGGGUUGCUGGAGGUAUCAGAAGUGCGAAUGCUGACAUAAGUAACGAUAAAGCGGGUGAAAAGCCCGCUCGCCGGAAGACCAAGGGUUCCUGUCCAACGUUAAUCGGGGCAGGGUGAGUCGACCCCUAAGGCGAGGCCGAAAGGCGUAGUCGAUGGGAAACAGGUUAAUAUUCCUGUACUUGGUGUUACUGCGAAGGGGGGACGGAGAAGGCUAUGUUGGCCGGGCGACGGUUGUCCCGGUUUAAGCGUGUAGGCUGGUUUUCCAGGCAAAUCCGGAAAACCAAGGCUGAGGCGUGAUGACGAGGCACUACGGUGCUGAAGUGACAAAUGCCCUGCUUCCAGGAAAAGCCUCUAAGCAUCAGGUAACAUCAAAUCGUACCCAAAACCGACACAGGUGGUCAGGUAGAGAAUACCAAGGCGCUUGAGAGAACUCGGGUGAAGGAACUAGGCAAAAUGGUGCCGUAACUUCGGGAGAAGGCACGCUGAUAUGUAGGUGAAGCGACUCGCUCGUGGAGCUGAAAUCAGUCGAAGAUACCAGCUGGCUGCAACUGUUUAUUAAAAACACAGCACUGUGCAAACACGAAAGUGGACGUAUACGGUGUGACGCCUGCCCGGUGCCGGAAGGUUAAUUGAUGGGGUUAGCGGUAACGCGAAGCUCUUGAUCGAAGCCCCGGUAAACGGCGGCCGUAACUAUAACGGUCCUAAGGUAGCGAAAUUCCUUGUCGGGUAAGUUCCGACCUGCACGAAUGGCGUAAUGAUGGCCAGGCUGUCUCCACCCGAGACUCAGUGAAAUUGAACUCGCUGUGAAGAUGCAGUGUACCCGCGGCAAGACGGAAAGACCCCGUGAACCUUUACUAUAGCUUGACACUGAACAUUGAGCCUUGAUGUGUAGGAUAGGUGGGAGGCUUUGAAGUGUGGACGCCAGUCUGCAUGGAGCCGACCUUGAAAUACCACCCUUUAAUGUUUGAUGUUCUAACGUUGGCCCGUAAUCCGGGUUGCGGACAGUGUCUGGUGGGUAGUUUGACUGGGGCGGUCUCCUCCUAAAGAGUAACGGAGGAGCACGAAGGUUGGCUAAUCCUGGUCGGACAUCAGGAGGUUAGUGCAAUGGCAUAAGCCAGCUUGACUGCGAGCGUGACGGCGCGAGCAGGUGCGAAAGCAGGUCAUAGUGAUCCGGUGGUUCUGAAUGGAAGGGCCAUCGCUCAACGGAUAAAAGGUACUCCGGGGAUAACAGGCUGAUACCGCCCAAGAGUUCAUAUCGACGGCGGUGUUUGGCACCUCGAUGUCGGCUCAUCACAUCCUGGGGCUGAAGUAGGUCCCAAGGGUAUGGCUGUUCGCCAUUUAAAGUGGUACGCGAGCUGGGUUUAGAACGUCGUGAGACAGUUCGGUCCCUAUCUGCCGUGGGCGCUGGAGAACUGAGGGGGGCUGCUCCUAGUACGAGAGGACCGGAGUGGACGCAUCACUGGUGUUCGGGUUGUCAUGCCAAUGGCACUGCCCGGUAGCUAAAUGCGGAAGAGAUAAGUGCUGAAAGCAUCUAAGCACGAAACUUGCCCCGAGAUGAGUUCUCCCUGACUCCUUGAGGGUCCUGAAGGAACGUUGAAGACGACGACGUUGAUAGGCCGGGUGUGUAAGCGCAGCGAUGCGUUGAGCUAACCGGUACUAAUGAACCGUGAGGCUUAACCUU